rnacentral:rRNA from 1 species
GACGAACGCUGGCGGCGUGCUUAACACAUGCAAGUCGAACGGAAAGGCCCUGCUUUUGUGGGGUGCUCGAGUGGCGAACGGGUGAGUAACACGUGAGUAACCUGCCCUUGACUUUGGGAUAACUUCAGGAAACUGGGGCUAAUACCGGAUAGGAGCUCCUGCUGCAUGGUGGGGGUUGGAAAGUUUCGGCGGUUGGGGAUGGACUCGCGGCUUAUCAGCUUGUUGGUGGGGUAGUGGCUUACCAAGGCUUUGACGGGUAGCCGGCCUGAGAGGGUGACCGGCCACAUUGGGACUGAGAUACGGCCCAGACGCCAACGGGAGGCAGCAGGGGGGAAUAUUGCACAAUGGGCGGAAGCCUGAUGCAGCAACGCCGCGUGCGGGAUGACGGCCUUCGGGUUGUAAACCGCUUUCGCCUGUGACGAAGCGUGAGUGACGGUAAUGGGUAAAGAAGCACCGGCUAACUACGUG